UUUAAAAUAGUAAUUAUUAUAAUUUAUUAUAUGAGUUAAAAAAAUGUAUAAGUAAUGGACUCGUUUAGGCUCGCGAGGUGACUAAAGCUCUCAAUAAGUGAAGCUUGAGCUUGUUUACUCAACAAGCUUAUUUUUAAGUUUCGGCCCGGGCUCGACCUCGUUUAAGCUUGAUUCGUUUCGAGCUGAGCUCGAGUAGCUUGGCUUGUUGACACUCCUAAGUACUUUGAUCUCUGCUGAUGUUGAAUGUUAAGAAUUUAUUUCAAUAUAUUACGGCGAAAGGCUCCAAUUUUAGACUUCUCUUUAGGUCUUCAAAAUGGCCGAGCUGCCCUUGAAUUGGUAUGGUAUGUUUGCUUUUAUGCUUGGUCAAUGAAUUUUUGAUUGGAGGAAUUUAUGCAUCUUAUGAUUUGUUGCAUGAAGAUAUAGACAGUGAAGAUAGGUUUGCUAAAUUUUGAAGGGUUAGCUGGUUUACUUUUGACUUCAUGUAUGUAUACGGCUUUUAUUCCUCUAUAAUGUCUUCCUUGCUAGUUUCUAAAAGUGCACAAGCACGUUUCUAGUUCAUGAAAAGGCAAUGGUUUUGGAUUUGCUAGUUUCUAAAAGUGCACAAGCACGUUUUUAAGAUUGUCAUAACUCACUAUUGAUUACUUUUACUUUAAUUGCAUCCUUUUGAACUUGAUUGCAUCCUUUAAACUAGAAAAGUGACUUUGUUUUUUAUUAAUUAGGUAAUGGAUUGACAUUAGAAAUACAAACUGUCAGUCUGUUACUUGAAACUCAUGAGUCAUGGCGGUGGUGGAUAUCUUUCACAAUUGACCUUCUGCCGUUAUUGCAUGCACAAUGUAAACUUUUCUUCUUUUAUGUGUUCUUGCUAUGCAGGGCUGCACCACUAGCAUCUAUUACUAUCCACAGUCUGCGAGUGUUGUAUACCGUAGGUGAGGACUAGCAGGGUAGAUAUCAUGAGAAGCUUUGGAGCUAACUUCUAAGACAAUGAAAUUAUCACCCAAAGGAACAUUUAGACUUCUCGUGUAAACAUUUAGAAUUUGGAAUAUGUUACUCAUUACACAACGUUUAUGCUAACAUUUGGAAUAUUUUUCGGAUGGAAAUAAUGUGAAUUUUGUGAUUA